rnacentral:tRNA from 1 species
GGAGGGGUACCGAAGUGGUCAUAACGGCACCGACUCGAAAUCGGAUGGUCGCGUAAGCGGCACGCGGGUUCGAAUCCUGCCCCCUCCG